rnacentral:rRNA from 1 species
AUUGAACGCUGGCGGCAGGCCUAACACAUGCAAGUCGGGCGAGCCGCGGACGGGUGAGUAAUGUAUGGGGACCUGCCUGAAGGAGGGGGAAAACUACUGGAAACGGUAGCUAAGACCGCAUACCAUCAGAUGAUCCAUUAUGGGAUUAUCUUGUGGGUGAGGAAACGGCUCACCUAGGAGACGAUCCCUAGCUGGUCUGCGAGGAUGAUCAGCCACACUGGGAAUGAGACACGGUCCAGACUCCUACGGGAGGCAGCAGUAGGGAAUAUUACGCAAUGGGCGAAAGCCUGAUGCAGCAAUGCCGCGUGAGUGAAGAAGGCCUUCGGAUUGUAAAAUACUUUCAGCGGGGAAGCGGUACUCAAAGAGAAAGCACCGGCUAACUCCGUGCCAGCAGCCGCGGUAAUAC